GAGGGCACAGCUCAGGGGUAGAGCACAUGCCUAACACGCUCGAGGCCCUGGGUUCAAUCCCCAGUACCUCCA
rnacentral:tRNA from 1 species